rnacentral:rRNA from 1 species
UUAAGCGACUAAGCGUACACGGUGGAUGCCCUGGCAGUCAGAGGCGAUGAAGGACGUGCUAAUCUGCGAUAAGCGUCGGUAAGGUGAUAUGAACCGUUAUAACCGGCGAUUUCCGAAUGGGGAAACCCAGUGUGUUUCGACACACUAUCAUUAACCGAAUCCAUAGGUUAAUGAGGCGAACCGGGGGAACUGAAACAUCUAAGUACCCCGAGGAAAAGAAAUCAACCGAGAUUCCCCCAGUAGCGGCGAGCGAACGGGGAGCAGCCCAGAGCCUGAAUCAGUGUGUGUGUUAGUGGAAGCGUCUGGAAAGGCGCGCGAUACAGGGUGACAGCCCCGUACACAAAAAUGCACAUGCUGUGAGCUCGAUGAGUAGGGCGGGACACGUGGUAUCCUGUCUGAAUAUGGGGGGACCAUCCUCCAAGGCUAAAUACUCCUGACUGACCGAUAGUGAACCAGUACCGUGAGGGAAAGGCGAAAAGAACCCCGGCGAGGGGAGUGAAAAAGAACCUGAAACCGUGUACGUACAAGCAGUGGGAGCACGCUUAGGCGUGUGACUGCGUACCUUUUGUAUAAUGGGUCAGCGACUUAUAUUCUGUAGCAAGGUUAACCGAAUAGGGGAGCCGAAGGGAAACCGAGUCUUAACUGGGCGUUAAGUUGCAGGGUAUAGACCCGAAACCCGGUGAUCUAGCCAUGGGCAGGUUGAAGGUUGGGUAACACUAACUGGAGGACCGAACCGACUAAUGUUGAAAAAUUAGCGGAUGACUUGUGGCUGGGGGGGAAAGGCCAAUCAAACCGGGAGAUAGCUGGUUCUCCCCGAAAGCUAUUUAGGUAGCGCCUCGUGAAUUCAUCUCCGGGGGUAGAGCACUGUUUCGGCAAGGGGGUCAUCCCGACUUACCAACCCGAUGCAAACUGCGAAUACCGGAGAAUGUUAUCACGGGAGACACACGGCGGGUGCUAACGUCCGUCGUGAAGAGGGAAACAACCCAGACCGCCAGCUAAGGUCCCAAAGUCAUGGUUAAGUGGGAAACGAUGUGGGAAGGCCCAGACAGCCAGGAUGUUGGCUUAGAAGCAGCCAUCAUUUAAAGAAAGCGUAAUAGCUCACUGGUCGAGUCGGCCUGCGCGGAAGAUGUAACGGGGCUAAACCAUGCACCGAAGCUGCGGCAGCGACGCUUAUGCGUUGUUGGGUAGGGGAGCGUUCUGUAAGCCUGUGAAGGUGUACUGUGAGGUAUGCUGGAGGUAUCAGAAGUGCGAAUGCUGACAUAAGUAACGAUAAAGCGGGUGAAAAGCCCGCUCGCCGGAAGACCAAGGGUUCCUGUCCAACGUUAAUCGGGGCAGGGUGAGUCGACCCCUAAGGCGAGGCCGAAAGGCGUAGUCGAUGGGAAACAGGUUAAUAUUCCUGUACUUGGUGUUACUGCGAAGGGGGGACGGAGAAGGCUAUGUUGGCCGGGCGACGGUUGUCCCGGUUUAAGCGUGUAGGCUGGUUUUCCAGGCAAAUCCGGAAAAUCAAGGCUGAGGCGUGAUGACGAGGCACUACGGUGCUGAAGCAACAAAUGCCCUGCUUCCAGGAAAAGCCUCUAAGCAUCAGGUAACAUCAAAUCGUACCCCAAACCGACACAGGUGGUCAGGUAGAGAAUACCAAGGCGCUUGAGAGAACUCGGGUGAAGGAACUAGGCAAAAUGGUGCCGUAACUUCGGGAGAAGGCACGCUGAUAUGUAGGUGAAGUCCCUCGCGGAUGGAGCUGAAAUCAGUCGAAGAUACCAGCUGGCUGCAACUGUUUAUUAAAAACACAGCACUGUGCAAACACGAAAGUGGACGUAUACGGUGUGACGCCUGCCCGGUGCCGGAAGGUUAAUUGAUGGGGUUAGCGCAAGCGAAGCUCUUGAUCGAAGCCCCGGUAAACGGCGGCCGUAACUAUAACGGUCCUAAGGUAGCGAAAUUCCUUGUCGGGU